AUAUAAUCAAUAAUAAACAUAAGUGUGUAAAAAUAAGAAAUAAUAGGAACAAGGAUUUGUUAGGAAUGAGACCAAAAAGUUUAAGAGCUAUGAAUAAAACCACACUUGGCAUUUUCCAGCUUGCCUUGCCUGCUUUCUAAUUGGGACAGCGGUUGCAUUGUCUCAUCAGCAACUCACAUUCCAGAAACUGAUGGGAACUAAUCACACAGGGACCAGGUGCAGGUCACACAGCAAGAACUCAUUCCACAGGCACAGGCAGUGCCCCGAGCUCUGCCCAUGGAGUUAGGUGUUAUGCACGGGUGAAGAGCAAUGUCGCCAUCCACACAGACAGGAGAGGGGCAGGUGGAAAGGAAGUGCCAGUCACUAAGAAUUGCUGACACUUAUCAGGUGCCUACCAGGAAGCAGCCCCUUUGUCCUCAUAAGGCGUUUUUCAGCAAAGCUGCCCUGAAUCCCCCCAGCAUGCCAGCCACCUGCAUAUCAAGGGACAGAAAUGGACCAUGUGGUGGGCUGAGAGUGUCUUUCCCCAAGCUAGAGAGGACAGGAAAGUGACAAGCAUGUCAGUUCAUGCCACAGCUUCACCGGGGGCUAGAGCUUUUGCAUCCCUCUUUCCUGAAGAGGCCAGCUGAAGAUCGGAACUGAAGAGAAGUCAGAGGCUCCUGCUGAAAAAGGCCACCGUGUGGUGUGUGUUUGCUGGUGGGAGAUUAGGAGGAUGGUGCACAGAACCAUCAAUGAGGAAUCCACGGGGGAAGAUGGUGCAAGGUAGGAAGAGCUAGGCUUCCACGCUUGCCAAAAAUGACAUCUGCCGCUGCCAAAGGACAAGAGGAAGAUGGGGUUCCCUGCGAAAUCCCUUUCCUUUCCAAGAAGGCAAUAAAAUCAUGUAGUGGUUCAUUUUAACCACCAGAAGCCUCUGCCACAUAAUGACAUCCAUGUCUGCAUAAGGAUAAGACAUGGUGGAUCCCAGGGAUUGAGGGGCUGGUG
ensembl:lincRNA